CGCCCAAAAGUAUGGAGGACUAUACAAAAUCGACUCCUAACUCUUCUUCCGACGACGAUAACUGUCCUACCUGUUUUGAAGAAUACAGCGAAGAAAACCCCAAGAUUACAACAAAGUGCAAUCACCAUUAUCACCUUUGCUGUAUAUUAGAGUGGCAGGAGCGAAAUAACACCUGUCCAUUUUGUAGGCAGGUGAUUGAUUUUGAUGAACUAUAGCUUAACACAGAAUCAAGACUAUGUAUUUUCUUUUUUCUUUAUUUACAUCUCCA